GAUGAACGCUGGCGGCGUGCUUAACACAUGCAAGUCGAACGGAAAGGCUCCUGCUUGCAGGGGUACUCGAGUGGCGAACGGGUGAGUAACACGUGGGUGAUCUGCCCCGCACUUCGGGAUAAGCCUGGGAAACUGGGUCUAAUACCGGAUAGGACCACAUUUUGGAUGGUGUGGUGGAAAGUUUUUCGGUGUGGGAUGAGCUCGCGGCCUAUCAGCUUGUUGGUGGGGUAAUGGCCUACCAAGGCGUCGACGGGUAGCCGGCCUGAGAGGGUGUACGGCCACAUUGGGACUGAGAUACGGCCCAGACUCCUACGGGAGGCAACAGUGGGGAAUAUUGCACAAUGGGCGCAAGCCUGAUGCAGCGACGCCGCGUGGGGGAUGACGGCCUUCGGGUUGUAAACUCCUUUCGCUAGGGACGAAGCGCAAGUGACGGUACCUGGAGAAGAAGCACCGGCUAACUACGU
rnacentral:rRNA from 1 species